GACGAACGCUGGCGGCGUGCCUAACACAUGCAAGUCGAACGGACAGACGCUGCGCUUGUGGGGUGCUCGAUUGCGGAACGGGUGUGUAACACGUGAGUAACAUGCCCUUGUCUUUCGGAUAACUUCAGGAAACUGGGGCUAAUACCGCAUAGAAGCUCCUGCUGCAUGGUGGGGGAUGGAAAGUUUCGGCGGUUGGGGAUGGACUCGCGGCUUAUCAGCUUGUUGGGGGAGUAGGGGCUUACCAAGGCUGUGACGGGUAGCCGGCCUGAGAGGGUGGACGGCCACAUUGGGACUGAGAUAGGGCCCAGACGCGUACGGGAGGCAGCAGGGGAGAGUAUGGCACAAUGGGGGGAAGCCUGAUGCAGCAGCGCCGGGUGCGGGAUGCCGGCCUUCGGGUGGUAAACCGCUUUCGCCUGUGACGAAGCGUGAUUGACGGUAAUGGGUAAGGAAGCACCGGCUAACUACGUG
rnacentral:rRNA from 1 species